CAUGGCUCAGGAUGAACGCUAGCGGCAGGCUUAACACAUGCAAGUCGAGGGGCAGCGGGGAGGAAGCUUGCUUUCUCCGCCGGCGACCGGCGCACGGGUGAGUAACACGUAUGCAACCUGCCCCUGUCAGGGGGACAACCCGCCGAAAGGCGGGCUAAACCCGCGUACAUGCCACCGGGGCAUCCCGGAGGCAGGAAAGGCUUCGGCCGGACAGGGAUGGGCAUGCGGCGCAUUAGGCAGUAGGCGGGGUAACGGCCCACCUAACCGACGAUGCGUAGGGGUUCUGAGAGGAAGGUCCCCCACACUGGUACUGAGACACGGACCAGACUCCUACGGGAGGCAGCAGUGAGGAAUAUUGGUCAAUGGUCGGGAGACUGAACCAGCCAAGCCGCGUGAGGGAGGAAGGUACAGAGUAUCGUAAACCUCUUUUGUCAGGGAACAAAGACUGGGACGCGUCCCCGGAUGAGUGUACCUGAAGAAAAAGCAUCGGCUAACUCCGUGCCAGCAGCCGCGGUAAUACGGAGGAUGCGAGCGUUAUCCGGAUUUAUUGGGUUUAAAGGGUGCGCAGGCGGUCUGUUAAGUCAGCGGUCAAAGCCCGGGGCUCAACCCCGGCCCGCCGUUGAAACUGGCAGUCUCGAGUUGGAGAGAAGUAUGCGGAAUGCGCGGUGUAGCGGUGAAAUGCAUAGAUAUCGCGCAGAACUCCGAUUGCGAAGGCAGCAUGCCGGCUCCACACUGACGCUGAGGCACGAAAGCGUGGGUAUCGAACAGGAUUAGAUACCCUGGUAGUCCACGCAGUAAACGAUGAAUGCUGGCUGUCCGGGGGGACUGACCCCUGGGUGGCGAAGCGAAAGCGAUAAGCAUUCCACCUGGGGAGUACGCCGGCAACGGUGAAACUCGAAGGAAUUGACGGGGGCCCGCACAAGCGGAGGAACAUGUGGUUUAAUUCGAUGAUACGCGAGGAACCUUACCCGGGCUCAAACGGGGAGUGACUCAGGCAGAGACGCCUGUUUCCCACGGGACACUCCCCGAGGUGCUGCAUGGUUGUCGUCAGCUCGUGCCGUGAGGUGUCGGCUUAAGUGCCAUAACGAGCGCAACCCCCGGCGUCAGUUGCUAACAGAUAACGCUGAGGACUCUGCACGGACUGCCGGCGCAAGCCGCGAGGAAGGCGGGGAUGACGUCAAAUCAGCACGGCCCUUACGUCCGGGGCGACACACGUGUUACAAUGGGUGGUACAGCGGGAAGCCAGGCGGCGACGCCGAGCGGAACCCGAAAUCCACUCUCAGUUCGGAUCGGAGUCUGCAACCCGACUCCGUGAAGCUGGAUUCGCUAGUAAUCGCGCAUCAGCCAUGGCGCGGUGAAUACGUUCCCGGGCCUUGUACACACCGCCCGUCAAGCCAUGGGAGCCGAGGGCGCUUGAAGUGCGUCGCCGCGAGGCGCGCCCUAGAGCGAAAUCGGUGACUGGGGCUAAGUCGUAACAAGGUAGCCGU
rnacentral:rRNA from 1 species